AAUCCCCUCCCCCCUGAAUUUCAGAAUUUCAGAAUUUAAUGUGUAGCGGCUCGGCGGCGACUGAGAGGAUUCGAUUCGGCAUCGGCACCGUAGCCAGCGGGGCGAUGGGAGGGAUCGAUGAUUUCCCUGUGGAUCCGGUGUGCGUGCUAGUCCCCCGCCCCCUCCCCCACGCAUCUGUAUUCUGUGGUGGCCGCGCGAGCUCAUCCAUGGUCCUUGACGACCCCCCCCCCCCCCCCCCCCCGGCGGUGCCCCGUGUCUUUUUUCGUCGUGUGUGCAGGUUGCUGAUCUUCCAAGAGGCGCCGCGUGGGAGCGCGGUUGGGAGCAGGGGAGGAGAUGUGCUGCGGGAUUCAUCUGUGGCUCCGCACAACAACGGCGUGGAGUACGACGGCGAUGGGAGCAUGGAGAAUGGCCCAGCGGAGUCGGGGGAGUCGGCCGUCAAGCCGGCUCCACGGUCGCCGGACUGGAUUAAGAGAGUUCAUGCGGGCACUAUUCCUACAUAAAGAACACCCUGUCUGGGAAGGAUGGGGGCCCUCAAAAUAUCUAAAGGGGCUUUGCGGAGCGAGAUAGAGAAGAGGUUGUCAAGCCAUAGUUAUGCACCACAUUUGACAUGUUGACGGAAGCGUACGACUUCUACAAUCUAUACUCAUGGGAACUUGGUUUCGGUAUAACGUAUGGCAAAAGCCGACUGAAUCCAGGCAAGCAGAAGACAAAUGCAAGAGAUAGUCUGUGGUUGCUCAGUAAGGAUGCAGAACUGAAAUGAAUUUAGACAAGAAAUACAGGCGAUAAAGAGCACACUGUCAGAUACAGUCCACCGGUGAUUUAAGUGGUACAUCUUGAAGGCUAUAGAAAGUUUGGGGGUUCUGCACGGGAAUAGAAAAUGAAUUUAGACAUGAGUUUCAUAAAGUCAUAAACCAUAUGCUCACAGUGGACGAGAUCGAUCGAGGAAGCGUGGUCUCAGCUACUGGAGAAGUACGACCUGAAGGCACACUCGUACAUGACGCAGAUUUUCGGGAUAAGGGAGAAGUGGGCGAAGUCAUAUUUCAAGGGAAUUUUCUGUGUGAAGAUGACAAGUACCCAGAGGAGUGAGAGUGUGAACCAUAUGCUGAAGAAAUAUGUGCCCUCCGGCUCUCCGAUGCAUAAGUUUGUUAGGCAGUACAUGCGGUUGCAGUUUAAUCGUCAAUCAGAUGAGAGUUAUGAAGAGAAGAAAACUAAAAUCGUAAGUGCAGCUUCAUUGAGAAAGAAACGGUAGAGACAUGAGAAGUGGAGCUAGGUGGUUUUCCUAGUAAAAAUGACCGGUAAUGGUUCAGAGUUUGGGUGAGAAUGCGGGCUUUUUGAGCACAUAGGCAUGGUGUCUUGUCAUAUACUUCAGGUGAUGGAUUCCUUGGCAUGACAAAGGUGUCGGAUAAGCACAUUGUGAGAAGGCGGACCAACGAUGGUCGAGACAUACUGCCAGAGCACUUGCAUCACUACCAGUGCGAUCAGCUUGGUGCCACGCCCCUGACUUUUCGUCAUAAUCGGAUGUAUGUGCAGGCAUUAGAGUUGAUCCGAUUGGGAGAUGCCAGUGUGGAAGCUUAACACUGAUGGGACUCAUCAAUAAAGCUAUGAAGGUGAUGGCUCCUUUCGACCAGGCGAGGAAUGGGCUGGGACAGGAGGAUCGUGUCAGUGGCAAGAAGCAAGGCAAUGUCGAUGAAAAAGAAACCAAGGCUGGCGAGGAUGAGUAUGUUGUGCUGCCGGGGCAUAGCAAUCUUUUGGUUGGCCUGGGAGUGCCAUCAAAGAAGAAAAGUGCAGGGAGGCCGACAAACGCAAGAGGCCAGGCACCUUACGAAGGAUUGAGUAAGAGUAGAUUCUGUAGCAUCUGCAAAAUUCAAGGCCACAAACGAACAACUUGCCCGCAGAGAGGAGACGUUCCCAAAGUUUAGAGGAAAGAAGCAAAACUGCAGCAAGUGUGGUGUCACUGGCCAUCAGAAGAACACCUGCGACAGGCCAGCGGGAAAAGUUGUUCAGGGUGUACUGUUGUACUAGCAAUUAGGACCAAAAGUGGUUGUAGAAUGCACAUGUUGUGCGUGUGAUGUGAACGUUAAUGAAAUACUAUCAUGGUGAUAAGAUAACUAAAUCUGUUA